GAUGGCGCCCGUCCUAUCCUAUCCUUUCCUGCAGCUUGUCCGUCUUCCGACCCGUUUCACAUAUCCUUCGUGCUCGUUUCCCGAUAAAACCGGCGGCUCUAGGAGCCGAAGUGCGCGUUGGAGCGGCGGGCCGCUGAACGCUUGUGCGUAGGGAUAUAGUGCGCGUGUUUUCAUUAAUUAGAUGGCGUUGUUAAUUAAUUGCUUUUGAAAUAUCAUUGGAAUAUUUGUACUAUCUCGUAGGGCACCGAUUGUGCUGGUUGUAAGCGGAUAUUGUGUUUUCCGGAAUUUCGAAUGCCGCGCUGGCAGUCACGUGACCGGUUCUGAUGUCGAGUCCGACUGCGCGGAAGGCGGUCUUUUCGUUCCCCGCCAUGAUUGGAGGCGGAUGUGUUGCGGGUGCUCCGGAUUUUGGUACCGGUGAGUGAGGUUCUAGAGGUUUGUAACUGCUGAAUCUAAUAUGGUAACUACUCAGUUGAAUUUAUGUGAUGAAUAUUUGUUUUGUUGUAUAACUUUAAUGUGAAAACCGGUUUAUAUGAGCUGAUAUGUUCGAUUCUCCGGGACAGUGGCUCGGUUGCCCCCGAUUCGGGGAGGACAAGCUGUGGAGCUUGUUUGUGGAGGCUGCCCUGGUGGCCUCGUGAGUUCGGUCGCCGUGGUCGUUUGGCAGCGCGCCAGAGACUGGAUAAGCCGUAACAAUCAAAUGAUCGAAGACGGGAUCCAGAGCGGUCCAAUACAGAUCUGUCCACGGCCAAGUCUCUGAGGUGGCCAGGUGACCGAGGGGUGGCAGGGAGCAGAUGCGGGCGAUGGUGGCGCGAGCAGUGGCCGGGGGCCAUCUGCAUCUACAGUUACGGCUUCCUUCUCCGCGCCUUCAUCUGCUGGUGAAGCCCAGUAGCGGCUUCCCUCUCUGCGCCUUCGGCUGCGUCUGGAGCUACAGUUGCUGCUUAGUCUCUGCGCCUUCAUCUGCCUCUGGAGCUGCAGCACCGGCUGCGCGCCGCGCCUUCCAGGAUUCUGCCUGAGUGGUGUGUGGCUGGCUGGCGCGGAGUGGUGUGCGGCUGGCUGGCGCAGAGUGGUGUGCGCCGGCGAGAGGCGCUGCGUGGUGUAUGCCGGCGAGAGGCGCUGAGUGGUGUGCGCCAGCGAGAGGCGCUGAGUGGUGUGCGCCAGCGAGAGGCGCUGAGUGGUGUGCGCCAGCGAGAGGCGCUGAGUGGUGUGCGCCAGCGAGAGGCGCUGCGUGGUGUGCGCCAGCGAGAGGCGCUGCGUGGUGUGCGCCAGCGAGAGGCGCUGCGUGGUGCGCGCCCUUGGUGCGUGCAGUGUAGUGUGCCCCUGGACGGGCUGAGAGGGUGCUCCCAGCGGGUGAGUGCCCCUCUGGCGGAAACAUCUUUCGCGGAGCUGCACCUUCAGCUCUGCAUCUGCUUGAGUAGCAGCGACCGCCUCUCCUCGCUGCCUGGUGCCGGCAUCCUGGUUCGGCCGGAGCUGGGAGCUGGAGGAUCUGGCCGUCUGAGGUUUGCUGCUACCUGCUGCUUCUGCUGGACUGAGUUGACUGUGGCUCGGUUGCCCCCGAUUCGGGGAGGACAAGCUGUGGAGCUUGUUUGUGGAGGCUGCCCUGGUGGCCUCGUGAGUUCGGUCGCCGUGGUCGUUUGGCAGCGCGCCAGAGACUGGAUAAGCCGGUAUGUUAUCACUAAAGAUGCUCAUUGUCUAUCUUUGCUUUGAAUUUCGAUACCUCAACGUCUGCUGUGUAUUGCUUGAUUUAUUUACUUACUUGUAGAAUGUUAAACAGAGUUCUUGGACCC
rnacentral:lncRNA from 1 species